rnacentral:rRNA from 1 species
CCUACGGGUGGCAGCAGUGGGGAAUCUUGCACAAUGGGGGAAACCCUGAUGCAGCGACGCCGCGUGAGUGAAGAAGUAAUUCGUUAUGUAAAGCUCUAUCAGCAGGGAAGAAAAUGACGGUACCUGAGUAAGAAGCCCCGGCUAACUACGUGCCAGCAGCCGCGGUAAUACGGAGGGGGCAAGCGUUAUCCGGAUUUACUGGGUGGAAAGGGAGCGUAGACGGCAGGGCAAGUCUGGAGUGAAAGGAGGGGGCUUAACCCCCGGACUGCUCUGGAAACUGUACGGCUGGAGUGCAGGAGGGGUAAGUGGAAGUCCUAGUGUAGCGGUGAAAUGCGUAGAUAUUAGGAGGAACACCAGUGGCGAAGGCGGCUUACUGGACUGUAACUGACGUUGAGGCUCGAAAGCGUGGGGAGCAAACAGGAUUAGAUACCCGUGUAGUC